rnacentral:lncRNA from 1 species
UGUUGAACCUGUGAGUGUUGUGGGAUUGAUUGUGUCAGGGUUCAUUGUCAUUUGCAUUGACUUGUCAGCCUAUGUUAAGCAUCACUUCUUUGUACUUUUCAGGUCAAGAAAGGAUGGACCGUUCUGCAUUGAGGUCGAAUGGAGAGUCAUUCAGCCUAGGCAGGCCUUGAUCCUCUUCUCUCACUCAGCAUCCUGUAUUUCUGUGAUUCUAGGCCUUUGCCUCCAGGACUAGAUGGUGUUUUCUUAUGGAUUAUCUGAAGGAGGAUAUUAUCCCUGAGAGAUUAUUGGCUGGAGAUUGUUCUUAACCAUGUAAAU